rnacentral:rRNA from 1 species
GCAGUAGCCGCGGGAAUACGAAGGGUGCAAGCGUUAAUCGGAAUUACUGGGCGUAAAGCGCGCGUAGGUGGUUUGGUAAGAUGGAUGUGAAAUCCCCGGGCUCAACCUGGGAACUGCAUCCAUAACUGCCUGACUAGAGUACGGUAGAGGGUGGUGGAAUUUCCUGUGUAGCGGUGAAAUGCGUAGAUAUAGGAAGGAACACCAGUGGCGAAGGCGACCACCUGGACUGAUACUGACACUGAGGUGCGAAAGCGUGGGGAGCAAACAGGAUUAGAUACCCCAGUAGUCCCUGUCUCUUAUAC